rnacentral:rRNA from 1 species
AGUGGCGCACGGGUGAGUAACACGUGGGCAACCUGCCCUCGAGUCCGGGAUACCCUUCCGAAAGGGAGGCUAAUACUGGAUACGCUCCUCGGGUCGCGAGACCUGGGGAGGAAAGGUGGCGAAAGCUGCCGCUCUUGGAGGGGCUCGCGGCCUAUCAGCUAGUUGGUGAGGUAACGGCUCACCAAGGCGAUGACGGGUAGCUGGUCUGAGAGGACGACCAGCCACACGGGGACUGAGACACGGCCCCGACUCCUACGGGAGGCAGCAGUGGGGAAUUUUCCGCAAUGGGCGAAAGCCUGACGGAGUGACGCCGCGUGGGGGACGAAGGCCUUCGGGUCGUAAACCCCUGUCAGAGGGAAAGAAGGGGGCUCGCGUGAACAGCGCGGGUCUCUGACGGUACCUUCAGAGGAAGCCCCGGCCAACUCUGUGCCAGCAGCCGCGGUAAGACAGAGGGGGCAAGCGUUGCUCGGAAUCACUGGGCGUAAAGGGCGCGUAGGCGGGAUGGCAAGUCGGUCGUGAAAUCCCUUGGCUCAACUGAGGGGGGUCGGCCGAGACUGCUGUUCUUGAGGGAUGCAGAGGAGACUGGAAUUCCCGGUGUAGCGGUGAAAUGUGUAGAGAUCGGGAGGAACACCGGUGGCGAAGGCGGGUCUCUGGGCAUCUCCUGACGCUGAGGCGCGAAAGCGUGGGGAGCAAACGGGAUUAGAUACCCCGGUAGUCCACGCUGUAAACGAUGACGACUAGGUGUGGGGGU